GAAACCUAAAGUAAUUAAAUAGCAUGCUCACAGUUCUGGGCUUAGAAUCCUGGUUGGCUGACUUCUGGCUUAUUGCUCUUUUCACAGCCGUAAGCUGUCUCCUGCAAUUGAUUUCUUCAGAGUCCAUGGCUAAUUCUUUAGGAUACCCUAAUCGUGGGCCAUGAAAUUCUUCAUGCUCUGGGAUUUUUGUUUUCCUGAAACCUUUGACACAGAGCUUUCAUUGAGAAGAGGAAAUGAAGAAAGAAGCAUGGUUCCAAGUACCAUGAAUAGCCCCACCCGAGGGGAGCAGUUUAUGUGUGCAGAAAGCGCCCUGGGGUGAUGAAACGUCCCAGGGAACAGAGCUGUAUGUGAAGAGAUUUGUGUGGAAAGGAAGAUUUUAGAAGUUUUUUUCAUCUUUCUUAACAUCCUCCCGAAGCAGCCCAACCUCACACUUCAAAGGAGCAGAGCAGAACUUUUACCUAAGGGAGGCCUUGCCUCUCCCAGCAGGCUUGGUUUCCAUACCAUGGUUUUUCUGGAAAUGUCCUCUUUCCAUACGCUACCUCUGAGUCACGCCUCAUUGAGAGUGAUGAUUAUGAUCUCUGGACGUUCGGAUGCUGCUGAGAAUCGGGAGGAUAUUUUGAGCCGUGGAAUUCGGGCUCUGCCACAUGUUUGGAUUAACAACCAGUUAAACCUUGCUAAGGCAAUAUUUUUCUAUGCAGUUAGUUUUUAUACCAAACAAGGUUUGUAGUAAUUGGAUGCCC
rnacentral:lncRNA from 10 species